AAUGGGAAUCAUGCUGCUGUUUAUUAUUUUUUUCUUUUCUUCUGUCUCCAAAUUACAAUUACAUCUUCAACCCACUGGGGUAGAUUUGCCUCAGGAGAGGUUCCGAUUGUCUUGUUCAGAUUUUCUUUCCCAGUGAGCAUAGCUGCCUAUUACCAUUGGUGCAGGUAAUGCUGGAAGGACAUUUCCGAGCAGCUUCGGGUGUGGAGGAGAAUUGAGUUCUGUGGCUACAACUGGCUCAGCCUAAGGAAACAGGGGAACCCAGACCACAGACUCGGGGCCUCUGGGUCAACCAGGACAUGAAGAAAGGCCCUGCCCCUGAGUGGAAUGGAGGACCAGGACCUGGACAGACAUGAGAUGUCAUUUUUAGCAGGAGCCACCUCUGCUUGGCUCCAGGUGGUUGUGUGGACAUAGGGUAAGUGUGGCUCCCAGUCACUCACGAGAAGCUGAAAACCUGGAUUUUUAGAAAGUGAAAUUCCCAGAUUUUUAAAAACAGUGUGUCAAUUUGAAGUUUCUGGUAGAGAGAGAGAGACCCUAAAAUAACUCAGUAACUCAGUAUUUACUCAAAACAAUUCUAUGAAAUAGGUACUAUGAUUAUCCCAGUUGAGGAAACAGAGGCACAGAGAGGUUAAAUAAUAUCCCAAAGACAAAAAAGUAGAAGUGGAUUGGAGGAAGAGCCCAGCACAGAAGGGGUUAAAGGGGGAACUAUAGGCCCUUGUGUUGAAUAAAAGGAGACGGAGCCCAAUUUUUCUAUCAUAACAAUAAAUUGGCCCCAAAUUAAGCCAAUACCCAGUUCUUAUUGCUUCUGCAGAGAAUUAAUAAACCAUGGCAUCUUCUGAAAAUGGGGAAGCCAGCAGCUCAGAGAGAUGUCAGAAAGCUUUUUACGGGGCUGGAGAUGUUUUGCCUUAGCAAGUAAAAUGGUUAUGAUGGUUAUGCCACAAACAUGCAGAGAGGGGGAAACGGCACGGCUGCCCUGCCUGUGCCCAUUCCUGGCUCAGUUCAGAAGUGUGCCCACCAUGAGGAGCAAGUAUCUGCAGUAGCCAGCUCUCGGGGCGUUAAUGGCUGUGGCCUCCCAGAGAACACUCCGGAAUAUUUUAGGUUUAUAUUUUGCAGAUGGUGUGCCAAGUCAUUCCCUCAUUCGGCCUAUUAGAUGGUUAGUUUCCUUUUCCUAGUUAAAGGAUUAACUAGAAUUAUCAGUAAUCAUGAGCUUCCCCCCGAGGAUGGGUCAAAGGAAAUUAAUGGAAACUGCAGCAAUAGAGACAUGGGUUAGUUCCACAGAAGGAAUUCCUGACUGGGAGAAUUAGCCCCGGCACAGGUUCCAAGGGGGUGGAAUUAGAACCCAUCGUGGAACCUAGGCAGAGCUGGAAACCCCUGCAGGCUCUGGCCCAGAAUGGAGGUUACAGGCAAAAAAGCAGAGUUAGGCAGCAAGGUGGGUUAAAUACUUCACCAUAAAAAGUUCCAGAAACUUGGAUCUGAAUGGGGGCCUUUGAAAUAUUUCAGCCUGACCUUUUCAUGUACAGAUGAGAAAACUGUGAUCCAGACCUGGCCAGUGACUUGCUAAGGGUCACACAGCUAAGUAGCAGCAAACGUAGAACGCAGGGCUCCAGUCCCUGCCAUGAUUCCCCAACUUGGAUCUAGUAAUGCUCUCUAUAGAUGAGACGACAGCCUUCUCAGGUUCUCGGUCCAUGGGACUAUAAAAUGGAAUGUUGGGCUUGGCACAUCACAAUGCAAUUGUCUAUUUACAAGUUUAUUCCCAGUCUCCAAUGGAGGUGAAUGCCCCAAGGAUGGGGACCAUGACUUCCUCAUCUUUGUCACUGGGUGCCUUCCACAAGGCCUGACACACAGCAGAUCUUCAAAAAAACCUACCUACUGCAGAUCCAGCUGACCCUCCUAUCCUUCAUGCAGCAACUCCACAAUCCAGGCUGCUUUGACCUUAUGGUGCCAUCACCUAAAUAUGAGGCAUUCCGCAAGAUCACUUCAGCUGCAAUGAGCUGCUUCAGCCCAGGAGUGACACGUGCCCCUUACAGUCACAGCCUGUUGGCCAGGACAGCUAUCCAGCCUCACUUGGCUGCCAGAGGAGAGAAAUGUGAUCCUUCCAUGUGCCCAGGAGAGGAGCACAGAUACGCGGAUAUGGGGUGCAAGAGAUUCAGACUCUCUGUGCUCUCCUUCAGCAAGGCACAGGUUGAACUCAGGAAAAGUAAGUCAGAGAUUAAAUAAAUGUCUUCAUAUAAAGGUGUGAGUUUACAAAGAAGAAUCAAAUGAGGAACCCAAGCAACUGUUGCUUUCACAUAACUUGGAGGUUUCUAAGGCAGUGUUUCUCAAUGUCAAGAUGGCACGUUUCAAAAGACAACCUGAAUUCUCAGAUGAUUUCAAUGCAAGAUUAAUUUUCACUUGCCUCCAUUUUACAAAUAAGUAAAUGCCAUACUGUGA